rnacentral:rRNA from 1 species
GUUAGACCUGCCCAAUGUUAAAAUAUGAAUGGCCGCGGUACAUUGACCGUGCUAAGGUAGCGUAAUCAGUUGGCUUUUAAUUGAAGUCCGGAAUGAAUGGGGUAACUGGGUUUAGCUGUCUCUAUUUCUUUAUAUUGAAUUUACUAUAUAGGUGAAAAAGCCUAUUUAAUGAAAAAGGACGAGAAGACCCUUAGAAUUUUGCUGAGAAUGACUUGAUAAUAAAAAGUAUAGUCACAUCGGUUUUGUUGGGGUGACAAGGAAUAGAUAUAUUAACUUUCUAUGAUAAUUCAGCCGAUUAUAUUAAGAGCGAAUAAAUUACCUAAGGGAUAACAGCAUAAUUUUAUAAAAAAGUUUGUGACCUCGAUGUUGGACUAGGAAACUAGCAAGCUAGCCGUUUGUUGUGUAUGUUCUGUUCGAACUUUAAUUCCU